GCAGUGGGACAAAAAAUAUUUUUAAUUUUUCUUCCAUCAAUGAGUUCUCACACUGGACACUUUACUGGAAAUGCUGCUGGUAUAUCCCAGCCAAUUGAUGCAAGAUUAAAAGAAGAAAUAUUUACAUCGUCUGAAUUUAUAACUAGUGUUGAUGAAAUGCGUAGGAGAUUAGAAAUCAUUGUGACAAGAGAAAUUUUUAAAAAUAGUAUAUGUCCAUCUAAAUCAAAUAAAAGGUUCUUCCCAUCCAAAAAAAA
rnacentral:lncRNA from 1 species